CAAAUUAAAGCUUAUUUAGAAAAGCAUUUUAUUUACAUUAAAAAGUUAUUGUGCAAAUCAAUGUAAUUUGA
rnacentral:tRNA from 1 species